CGCCGCUGCCGCGGCUCCUUGCAUGCUGUGGCCCGGGUGGGUGCCAGCGCUGCCGCGCCGCCCGCGCCUGGCAUCCCGAGCGGCCUCCUGCGUCCCGGCCCGGCUCGCAGUCUCCCCUAUGAUUGACAUCUCACAUUGCUGUGGCUCCGGAUACAGUAUGAAAACUGAGUCAAAGGUGUUCAUGAGAAAAAUGCACAAAAUCCCGACUGACCGGAAUAAUUCAUGAAGAAGGGGCUGAAUCCGUGGGUCAGAGAACACAGGACCAGUUUGCCAUCCCAAGGCGGAAGUCUGGUGACUCGGAUUUGGCCCUGCGUUUCCCACUCCUGCUGCAUCUUACCCAGUCGAGGAACGAAAGGUCUUGACACCUUCCUGAAGCAUGGGAAGAAAGGAGGUUCUGAAAGCACAGAUCCAAGACCACCAGAGGCCGGGGACAGCGAUUCCUGGAGGGGCCGCUCACACAACACCAGGAGCUGAGGAGAACUGGAGCAGGAGGAACAUGGGCCCAACAAGGGUGGAAAUACCAGCAAUUCCAAAAGUCAUCUACAUCAGUGCCCAGGACGCCCAUGCAGAACCCACUGAAUGGAAGAAAACGUGGUGGCUGCUUCCUCAAUUUGCAACUGCAGAAGCUGGAAUAAGGGCCUGAGAAGGCAGAGAAGCCACAUGAGUCCAGUCCCAAAGCUGUCAGAGUAACCCUGAGGGAACUGUCUACUGAAUUAUGACCAGUUGUGCCAACAGACAUUGAGAAGAGACCUCCUUUCCAUUGGCUCCUAUCACACCUGGCUGCCACUGCUCCUGGGAUCUGGACCAUCUUGUAUCCACCUUUGAGCGUCACUUCCUGUUUCAGCUGUGGGAGUUCUGGUCCACUUUCCCUGUGAAGAAACCUUCACUUUUUCCUCCUUUGGAGUUCUGGAUUAGACUCUUGUACCUGGAACUGGGUCAAGUUAGGCUAAACGCACCUCUAGGCAUUCCUGUUUCUCAGAAGUUGUCAAGUUCACAUCAUACCUGUUUCAUUGGUGACCAGGGGUCCACUUCUAGCAGAUGCUACCUGGCCUGGUCAGUAUUUUUCAUGGUCAUCUCUUUAGUGCCUUUAUCUCAUCCCCUGCCCAACUCAGGUGAGACUUGCCCAGUGGUGACUUCUCUCCUGGUACUUUAGAUAGGGAGAGAAAAUGUGGCUUGGUGGAUCUGCCAUCUUCUUCAGUUUGGAGGCAAUUGGAGCAUGGCUCCAUCUAGGGAGGAAAAUGACUCCGAAAGAGACUGUCCUUAUCUCAGCUUCUGCCCUGUUCUACUCUCACAAUCCUUAUUCUUGCCCUUUGUGCCUGUCGUAAUGCAGGAGAAUUGUGGUUUUCUUUUUUCUAUUAAAUAUAACUGUAGCUAUUUUCAUUAUUGCAAAACAGCACAAGCUUAUUACGAAAACAUGAGAAAUAUAGACAAUAGAAGACAAAAAAUAUUCCCAAAUUUUAUCCCAAAGACAAGACAACUAUUGAUUCAUAUAGUUAUACAAUAUCAUACACAUAUACUACAUAUAUUUAUAUAUUUAAUGUGACUAUAAUAUCACAAUACCAUUUAUAUUCUUUGAUAACACAUCUUGUCAUUUAAUGUCUUAUGAAUAUAUUUCUAUAGCAACAAGCUCAGCUAUACUGAAAUUUUAAGAGUACUCAAUUGUAUAUAUGCCCUCAUUUAUCUCAUCUCACAUAGUUUAAUGUUUAGGCUGUUACCUCCUUUUCUAUAUUGUCAUUAAUGAUCAUGGAUUUAGUUUAAUCUUCCUAUAAUUAUUUCCGUAAGGUAAAUCCUUAGAAAGGGAUCGAAGGAUGAGUAGUAAAGGUUGCAAAGCUCUCCGAAUCUGGAGCCAGCAAUAACUGCUCAGACUCCCUUAAAAAUAAGAGCUCUAGGAAGGCCACACAUGCCCUUUCCCAGAUUCCUUCCCAUAGCUACACUUGGGCAGCCCUGACUUCUUUCACCUUGCCCUGAACGGAGAAUAGCCCUGAGAGAUGGCUGAGGAACAGGUAGUGAAUGAGCGAGUGGUGGUGUCAGUUUGGGUUUGGUUUUUGGAUAAACUUCACAGUUCCUCAUUGGAUGCUGAGAAAUGAUUAUUCAUUCAUGACCCAUUUAUGGAAGAGCCAUUGCUUCCAGAUGCCAGGCUAGAGGCUGAGAAGACAGAGAUGGAUUAAACAGGAAUUCUUCUCUCAGGAAUAGCACAGCCUAGGGAAGGAAGGCCCGUGAUAGACAGCACACAUUUACUCCAUGAUAAAGAGGAAACGUAUAAGAUCAGUAAUAUAUCUCAGGGAAGAAAACUGGAACCAUCUAAAAUCCCACAGGGAAAAUAUGAGGUUCCUGCAGUCUACUAGCCCAUUCAUCUCAGCUAACACCUUUGUGUGGAUCCUUUGGUGGUGAGACUUGCUCGCUUGUGGUCAUCCUUGCUAAACACAACCUGCCCAAAGGCAUUGACCGUGUCCUUCCUUUGCACCUCUAGCAAACUGGUACCAUCUUAUACCAUGGCUUCUGAAAUCUGUUCAGUGUAAAAUCCAAAUUAGAGUAAACAAAAUUAAAGGUAAAGAGAUUCAUGAGUUGAAACAAAGACUCAAUGUUUUAUGUAUGUAAGAAAAUUUGCAUUAAUUCAUAUCCUUCUGCCUGAUAGAAACUUUCUCAGAUAUUUCAUUAUAGAAGAAACAAUCACAUUCCAGAAAAUGUGGGAAGUAGAGAAAAGGAGAAUUAUCAGCCCAUCUCACCAUCCUAACCCAGGGCAAAUAGCAUUCUAGUGACCUUUGCCCUGAAAAAUUUGUAUUAAGAUGGUGUUGAGGACAAGAGCUAAGGAACAUGUGAGUUUUUCAUCUCCAAUUUUAUUGUGAAUAAAUAUAUCUGAUAGUGAAUUAUAUUCAUGUAGUUCAAAAUUCAAAAACACAAAAACAGAGACUGAAAAGUCCAUGAACCCCAGCCUCUAUUACUUGGAGACAUCCAGGAGUCUCAGUGUCUUGUGUAUCCUUCUAGAGUUUUUGUGCAUAUUAAACCAUGCGUGUUUAUAAAAUAUGAGUUUUGACUAGAGGGCUUUGGCAAAACUGUUACCAAAUGUCCUAAAUUUAGCUAAACUAUCUUCAGUAAUUUUAAUGGCAGGCCUGAGGUACAGAUGGAGAAGAGAAAAGGAUGGAGAGAGCGAGAGAGAGAGAGAGAGAGAGAGAGAGAGAGAGAGUGCUCCUGAGGGAGAGCGUGAAAGAAAGAGCAAUCUUUCAUUUAUCCAACUAGUAUUUAUUGAGCAGAUAUUACAUCUCAGAUAUUAUUCUAUGCCCAGGUGAUACAAGAGUGAAAAAAAUUCCCUGACUUCAUGGGGAUUAAGAAUGGAAGGUGGCAAACAAUAACCAUAAUCAAAAAGUAAAUUAUAAAGUCCAUCAGAAUGUGAUAAGCGUUAUGGAAAAACACAAGUGGGGUCCAGGAGAUGAGGCACAUCAGGAGACAGUUUUAACAUGAGUGGUCAGGGAGGGCUUCACUGAGGAGGCCUUAAAGGAGGCGAGAAGAUGGGCCCUGCAGAUACUCAGGGAAAGGGCACUGCAGAGGGAAGAAGCAAUGCACAGGCCUCGCAGCAGAAGUCAAGGCCUGGAGGUUUCCAGCAGCCAACCUCCUCCAGCUCCGGGCUGUUCCUGGUAACCUGUGCCCGCAGCUGGCUUCCCUUGGAGUUCAGGUCAGGCCGGUGUGUUUGGGCCAUAGUGCUAAGCUUACUGUAUACUAGACGUCAGUUUGUCUUCUCUCUAAAUUUUGAUUCUGAUGCUUAAUUUGACUCCUUCCAAGGUGAUUCUGUGGUUAGUCUGAAUAAGGAAAGGAGAGGGGCAGUGUUAUUGUAGUAGGUAGACAAGGUUGACAUUUGGGGGUCCUGGCUUUUAAACCAAUUCUGUUUUCAAGUCUUUUGUCAGACACAUUAUUCAACCUUUCCGGUCCUCAGGUUUGUCUCUUAGGAAACAAAAAGAAUGUGCUUAGUUGGCUUUAGGGCUGUCCCUACCAUUGGUUUUCAAGCUCUGUGACCAUGUGAGCAGUCCAGGUAGGAAGUGGCAUCAGAUGACAUCUAGCAACACCAGGGGACACAGAGGAGCUUCUGCCUGCAGAGGACUGUGUGCAUGAUAUGUGCCGCCACCUCGUUUCCCUUCUAGACUAGAAGAGCCCAGACCAGAAGAGCCCAGACCAUCCUUCAAAUAGAAUAUUUCACCUGAAUAAGCCCAGAAUUCCCUAAGUGAACAGAGGAGACAUGGGGACACGGUUAAUUGCUUUGUUCUUGUGCCGUUGGCAGUAUGGUUCCCUUUAAGCCCAGAAGGGCUCCUUUCCCCUGCCCCUUGGCGGAGCUCAUUCUCCAUAUGCAGUAGGGGUGGCAUGCUGGGGCCAGGGCUCCUUGUUUUGUUCCUGUGGGCCACAGAGGUCCCCUCCCUGUUUAGUGUCUUCCAGUUGGACACAGGGAGUCUUCGUCUACCUGGGGAAUAAGACACUGAGGAGGAGGGAAGCGUGUCAUGGACACCACUCUCCUUCCAGCAAAGUCACUGUGAAUUUAAAACUCAGACUGUGUGUAAGAGGUUGUGGGGGCAGAAAGGGGCCUUUGGAAAUUUCAUUUGGAGGCAGAGGUGCUAAACAUGAAUAGAAGCCUUUGCUUUGACUCUCAGAGGGUGAGUCACCUUGGUUAUAGUUACUCUUGGUUAUUCCUUGCUUUUUCUUUUGUUAUCUCCGCCCGCACCCCCGCCAUACCCACCCAUCUUUAGCAUUCUUAGCUGCUUUUCUACAGGUCAGCUGAAAAGUGACUUGCAGAAUAGGGCUUCUCUUCCCCUAUUGGAGUUCAUGGGCAUUAUGUUUCCUAGCACUGGGAGGAAAUAUACACGACCAUGCACUUUCCACUCAUAAAGGACCCUGAGGUAUUUAAUUGUGAAAAUCAACUUCUGAUUUAUGUUACUUUCCCAGUGCCUUUUCUUUACACACAUAUGAAAAUUGCUCUAUUACUUCUUACAUUUCAUGCAGUGCCCUUUGUCUCCAUCAACUGUUGUGGAGAGAAAUUUUAUUUGGAAUAUUCAUAACAAGUCUAUCGCUAAUUAUCACUUUAACAAUGUGUUAUGGAGUGUAUCCAUGCAGUCAUCUGGAAAAGCACAUAUGCCAUGAAAUUUGGGGACUUGCUGUGUGCUGUAGGUGCCCAGUCUCAGUGUUUCAUCAGAUCUUUGCUUGGGGAGGAGGUAGAGGUGCUUUGUGAGGGAGUAUGGAGGCCUGCAUCCUGCAUUCCUGUCCUCAUAGCAACAGUUUCCAGGGUGACUUGUUUUUGAGUGUAAAAAAAACCUUAAUGUGAAACAAAAACCCUUCCCUACUCUGCAGCCCUAUUACGGUCAGCCCAGGUCAGUGCCAGGUAGACUGAUCUUAGCCACAGAGCUAAUCGCAGAUGAAGACCCUGCUGUUCUUGGUGCCAUCCUGGCACUCUGGCAAGAAGAGUGGAGCUAAAAUUGCCACCUGGUUGGCAGGCCUCAGAAGCAAAUGGAGAGUGACCUCAGCAUGUCAGAAUGAGAAAGGAAAGAAUGCCUCGGCGUUUCUUUCUUCCUGCUCUCUUUUCUCUGGGAAAGGAGAAUGGACUCACACUGGGUUUCUUCUCCAGGAUUCUCAGUGAGUCUGGGAUUUGGGAGGCUAGAAUCAUAUUUUUACCAGGACACAUGGAGCGCUUCCCUCUGAAGCUUCCUGAUGGACAUGGAUGAAGCCCCAGAGGCUGCCUCCAAAUGAGGGCAGAGUAAUGGAGCCUAAUGGAGCACAGCUCCUAGUCUGAGCACAGUCCUACCGCAGGGAUAAAUCAAGCAGCCUUUAGGUGGGGCCAGGAAGGGGACAGAGGGAAAUGAAUGACUGUGUUGAGCUCAGCAUGACUUUGUGGAUCCUCUGAAGCUUUUAACUAAGUGGAGGAUUCAGACUCAGGAAUUUACUGAGGAAUAUGACUUGGAAGGAUGGAAAGUUGCAUCUGUUAUAACAAGCUUUUAAGGAUGAGUUUUCAGAGCACUUGGAGCCUGGUUUUGUUGGAUGUUACUUUAGAAAUAAUAACUACUUAUUAUUUGUUAAGUGCUUACUCAGUACUAGGCACAUUGUUCAUCAUAAUCAAUAAUACCUAACAUUGAUGGAGUAUUUGUGAUGUACCAAACUCUCAAGCACUUUAGAUUCUGACUUAACUAGGUCCUAGAAGGAAGCCCCCAUUGGAGCCAUCACUAAUAUGUAGAGAAAUUGAGGCUCAGGGUAUUAGAUAACUUACCAGAAACACUAAGGAAACCAGUAGCUUUAGGUCAGUCACUUACCUGUUUCAGGACACAGAGCACAGAGGCUUUCCCCCUUUACCCUUUAUGAAACAGCAGGAGAGGACGGGGGCUGUAUCUCAGUGGUAGAGCUCUUGCCUAGCGUGUGCAAGGCUCUGGGUUUGAUCCCUUGUACCACAAAAACAAAACAACCAUAACAACAGCAAAACCAGCAGGAGAAAGUGCUGAGAAACAGCAAGAAAGUGGGGCACUGAAAGGGGACAGGAGUCUGUGUAGCCCUGGGUCAGUGCUGGUACAAAGCUGGCCUUAUGACCUGGGUGCUUUGCAUCUGUUAUAAUGCACUGUGAAAACCCAGUGUUAGCUGUUGUCCUAAAGAACUGAUUCAAUAAACCCUACAUUUCUGGACAUUUGGUUUCCUUGUUUCUAUUUGGGUGGCACUAGGAUUUGGGAGGAGCUAGUUGGGAAUGUAUUUAAGGAGGAAAACUUUGGAUGUGGUUUUAGAAACAAGGCACCACAACCAGACUGUGAUGCAGGCUUCAUCUGUGGACAGGUGUAUGUGGACAGGUGCAUUGUGCAGGCACCAGCGCGGGCAGAGGAAGUGGUAGGUUUGAAGGUAGCAAAAUAGGGCGGCUUUGUUGUUGUCUGGCAUGGGCCCUGCCAGGCCACAUCCAUUAACUAUGCCAACACCACUGCUAAUAGGUGGGUGAUUCAGCUCCUUCCUGCAUUUUAUUGCCCAACAGAGACUUUAAUAGCCUUUUGAUUUAGCAAGUUAACAAAGUAAGCUCUCAAGCUCCACUGUUUAACACCAGCUGGAUGACCCUGGGCCUGCUGCUGCCUGGAGCCCUCUGGUACAGUCUUUGCAUUGAAAGAAGAGAAAGCUGUGGAAUUUUCAGGCUCUCCUCGAGAGCUCCUUUUGGGGCAGCCCUGCCAGCCCAGCAUGCUUAGACCCCUCCGAUGUCAUAUGUCGCCCCCGCCCCCAUCAGUCCAGCCGCAGAAGAGAUCUGUCUAGAAGUUAAUAUCCCAGGAACCUAAAGGUUGGGUGUCUUUGAGGAAGAGUGUCAGAUGAGAAUGUGAGGGUUCCCGGAUGGGGCUCUUUAUUGAUUUCCUGGAACUAUUGUGUAACAAAUUAUCACAAACUGGAUAAUUUAAACAAUAAACACAUUCUACCACAGUUCUAAAAGCCAGAAGUUUGAACUCAAGGUGUUGGUAGGGCCAUGCUCCCUCAGAAGGCCCUAGAGAAGGACCUUUGCAUGUCUCUUACUGGCUUCUGGUGGUUGCCAGUGAUCCUUACUGUCCCUUAGCUCGUAGACACAUCACUCUGUCUCUGCCUCUGUGGCCACACAGCCUUCUCCCUGUGUACGUCUUAUAAGGACACAAGCUGUAUUGGAUUUGGGGUCCACACAACUCCAGGAUGCUCUCAUCUUAACUAGUUACAGCUGGAAAGGCCCUGUUUGAAAGCAACAUAAGAGUCUGAGGUUCUGGGUGGACCUGAAUGUCCAGGCCCUUUAAAAGCAAGUGAAAAGAGGUAGGCCAUGUGGUAGCUGAUUCACACAGCUAGAGAGAGGUGGUUUCAGACAACACUUUCUGGUACAACUUUGUGCAGUGAUGGGAAGGCCCUGUAGCUGCACUGCUGAAAAUGUGGCUAAUGCGACAGAGGAACUGAAUUUAGCAUUGUGAUUGAUUUAAAUUAAGUUAAACAGUCAAGUCAUGUGACCAGGGGCUACUGUUGCAGAGAGCAAAGCCCUCAACCAGUGAAGGUGAACCUUUUAGAAACUGAGUGCCCAAACUGCAACAUAGAACCUACUUAUUUAUCGCAAAGUGCCAACACUGCCAUUAAACCCGAAUACUGAGGCUUUAGUUUAGAAAAGACAACUCAUAUAAUAAUAUCUUUUGUCUUGAAAGAAAAACAAAUAACACACGUGUCAUAGGUUCACCACCGCUGCCCUAAACCCUCCUGAGUGUGGAAUAGGAGAAGGAGACGUGAAGGCUGUCAAAGUCUGGGCAGGGCCAUUUGCAUCCAGGAUGGCCAUCAGCUGUUUAGGAUGCUGAUCAAGGUCUGCAGGGGUCUCUUUCCGUCUCCGGCUAGAGGAAGGACAUCACAUGGGAUCUCAGCACACAGGACAAUGGUCUCGGGAGUUCUUAAACCAGCAGCACCUCUUCCAAAGGAAGUCAUUUGUACUUUUGACAUGUAGGACCAUUAGUUGGAAGAGAGGCUGAUUUGGAUGGAGGUCAGAGACCUUCAUAGGGUUCCACCUUGCCUUCUCUUGAACCCUGAACCACAAAGUGAGGAAAUUAUGGUUGAGCCUACCAACCAUGUGAGAGAACAAGAAAUGGAGGUUCAGAGAAGUAGAGAAACUUAACAAGGUCACAGAGCAAGUGGUUUGAUGAAUAUCGUUAUCUUUGGAUUUCUGAGGAUCCAUUCCUGGGUCCUUCUAAAGUCCUUGAUGCCCUUUUUGAAAGAAGAUACUCAGUCUACUAGUCAGCUACUAUGAAAAAACUACUCUAAGGUCAGAUGCAACUUCUGGCUUAAUCACAACAGAAUUAAUGUUUGUUCGGUUGCUGGUUUUGUUUUGUGAACUGGCUGAGAUCUGUAGGUGAGUAUUAUGCAUGGGUACCCUUUCCAGGUGCCACUCAUCAAAUGCACACUAUAUGCCAUUACAGGCUGAGUAGAGUCCUUCAUUUCAUUGUAUCAUUGAAUCUCCAUAGGUUGGUGAUGUUGGUAUUACUGAUCCCAUUUGGGGAAAACUGAGGCUCAUGGGAGUGGGAGGCAGGGUUCCCAACCCAUGCCUUUUGCUCAGGGAGUUGCUGUCUCCUUAGAAGGAUGGUAAAGAAAUAUAAAAUAUCUGUCAUGAAUUAGGAAGAAUGUCCUAAAAUCUCAAGGUGCCAUUUAAAGGCAAAGACCAGUGUGGCUCGUGAGGGAAGGAGAGGCCAGACCAGGAGGUGACCACAAGCAGGUACAAGGCAGCCAGGCAUCCCAACGCAAUGCUGUGGUAAGAAAGCAAGGAGUAGAACAGCGUUGUGGAAAGUGAAAACCGCCUAGGAUGUGUGGGAGGCUGGAGGCAGAUGGGUGUGGAUGAGAAGGGCAAUAGGAGGGAUCCUUGUGUGAUGGAAAUGCUCUGUCUUUUCCCUGUAUCCAUGACUUGCCAUGAUAUUGUGGUAUAAGGUAGUUUUGCAAGACGUCGGCAUUGGGGGAAACUGGGUGAAGGGUACGUGAGAAUUCUAUGUGAAUCUAUACAAGUUUAAUUUUUAAAAUAUAUACAGAGUCUACUCCCAAAAAUGUAUAUACACUCCAAGAAAAGAAAUAUAGGAUGAUGUUUUUCCAACCCUCGUAUGGGGGAUCCUAGAGGAUGUCGUAUAUCGCAGAAAACCCACUCCACUGCUAGCCCUUAGAGAAGAAAUUAAAAGUACACGUGCAGCAAUUUCAAUGACCAAGGUUACACAAGCAGUAGUUGGCUGUACUAACAAAGUUCUGGAAGCCAGUGACCACACUUUGGCCACCUCUUGUAACUGUAGAGGCUGAAGGUAACUUACAUUAAACUCAUGAUGUCUCAAUAAAUUUAGUAUUAAAAUAUUUAUACAAGCUUUUCUUUUCUUGAAGUGCAUAUACUUUUUUGGUGAACUCUGUAUAUAUAUGGGAGAGAGAGUGGAGUUCACAGACCCCCAGCCCUUCACCCCUUGCAUGCACUCCAGGAGAAGCUUGCAUGGUGUCUUUUUGCAGCAAGGUAUCUUCAGGUGUCUGUCCUGGAUGCCUUUGGGCAGGACCAAGAGGAAUACAUGCCUGAGAGCUAGGCAGAUGGCACUCGGAGAGACAGAUGGCCAGAAUCCCCAGAGGUGGGAGCACUCACUGAGCACCUACUAGGUGCCAGGUGCUGUUCCAGGGCUAGAGACUGAGGUUAGGAAAGCUGGUGCAGCUUCCCACAGGUUUGCAUUGUACAGUUGAAGACAGAUGUAAACCAGGAACAGGGCAAUGCCAGGUGGUGACAGGUGCUGUGAAGAAGAUGAAAGAGCAGAGUGUGACAGAGUAGCUGGGGGCUGCUUUUGCUGGAGCAGUCAGGGAAGGCUUCUUUGAGGAAAACCUAAGUGAGAAGGAGGCAGCCAUGGGGACAUGUGAGGGAGAGUAUUCUAUGCAGGAGGAAGAGCAGGUGCAGGAUCUCUGAGACAGGAAUAAGCUUGUGCACGAGGGGCAAGAUGAAGACCAUAGGAAGGGAAGCACUGGCAUUGGGAGCUGGAGGGCGAUGAAGCUAAAAAGACAGGCAAAGGCCAGAUCCUAUAGGCAGGUGCUUGCAGAUGUUGGUAAGGAGUUGGUAUUGGGAGUCUCUGGCAGGUCUGAAGUAGGUACAUGGCCAGCUAUGUGUGGAUGGGUUUUAGAAGGGCAGGAGUGGAAAAUAGUAGACCACAUUGUACUACUGCAAUGGUCCAUGCAAGAGGGCAGUGUCAUGAGUAGGGCUUUGGCAUUGGCAUGGGAAACCUGUUGGAUUGGGGUUGCUCUGAGAGGAGAGCUAUCAGAGAUUUGCUGGUGGUUUACACAUGGAUGCGAUGGCAAGAAAAAGAUCCAGGAUGAUUCCCAGGUCUGCUGUUUCAUUCUAUCCCAGCUAACUCCAAAGGACUGGUCAGAGAAUGUCCUUCAGAGAAUAGCACUAAAAAUAGAUGAGAAUUGGGCUGAGCCUCAAAAAGUGUGGGUUGAAGGGGUGACCCCCUCACCAGUUUCACCACUCUGGUCCUUAGGCUCUUUCUUGCUGCAGGGAGCAGACCUGCUCUGCUUUUCUUGUACAUGGAGCUGAUUGUAAGAUGGUGGUGAGGUGAGGGGGUUUGGCAGCCAUCCUGGCAGUGGUCCUGUGACACCCAGGAGAACGGGGGCACAGUCUUCCCCCACCUAAGCAGCUAUCAGCAGACAUCAUAUACUGUCCAUGUCUCCACUGUUCUGAGCCAGCUGUGGUUUGGAGCCCCCUGCAGACAUGCUGCCUCCUCCUUCACUCUCUGGGCUGCACACUCCAGAUGCCCUGCAGGGAGAGUCUCCUAGGAUUGGCUGGUCCAUCCAGGCCAUGUCUGCAGGGCAGAGGGCUCGGGCCAGGCCAUUGCCAAGGCAGCUGGAGUCCUUGAUGCAUCCCCCAAAAGCCAUUGCCUUUGACUUGUUCUGGGCCUAGUUGUGGCCCAAGCAUCAUGGAACAGAAAAUGUGCAUAGCAGCACAAGUGCCCGGGGCUGGGUGUGACCUCCAGAGGUGUGGCAGGCAUUGGCAUAGACGUCCUGGACACAAAAGCUGUGCAAUUCAGGAAGGCCAGUGUCCAGUGGAUGAGAAGGACCUAACAUGUCAGUAAGGUGGACAGCUUCUGUCGGCAAAAGUGGGAGGCACGCAGAAAAUAACCUUGGAUUUGUGUAAUAGUAUCUCUUGUGAUGUGGGAUUAAUUUUAUCUUUGGUGCUGCAUCUUUGGUGGCCCAGGGAACGCUGCAUUUCUCCACUCUCUUCCGUCCAUCAAAGUGGCUCCUCAAAGAGCACUUCUCACAUUCCUCACCCCAAGGAUAGAACAGAAUCACCUCAAGCACAGAACCAUGGCCCUAGGGGACAUGGCCUUCACCUGCUUCCUUUUUAUCUGCCUCGCCUAAUUCAUCUUUCCUUUCUUUUUCUCCCUUAAUCCCUCGAAGUUAGCCAGGGAGGGGCAGAAAGGAAUCUUGGUUUUUGUCUGACUCUAUAGGAGUACAGUUGCUAGAACUGAACUGUGUUUCCCCUAAAUUCCUAGGUUGAGCCCGAAUCCUACUGUAAGUGUAUGUGGACAGAGGCCUUGAGGGGGGAAAGGGUCCUGCAGAGCACUGGUAUUCUUAGGAGAAGAGACGCUAGAGGUUGCUUCCUCCCCUGCACACACAGAGGAAAGUUCAUCGGGGUCAGACAGAAGGCAGAUGUCUACAAGCCAGGAAGAAAGUCCUCACUAGACAGCUAAUCCUCAGAACCUUGAUCUGAGACUCCGCAGCCUCCAGAACUUUGUGAAAUUACAC
rnacentral:lncRNA from 1 species